CAGAACCAAGCCCAUUAAAUUAGCUUACUUCUGGCUGACCCAGACUCCCCAAGACUUCCAUCUUCACAAUAAUCGUCUGUGACUCUACGUGACCUUUCUUGUGUGGAGAAUCAGAUGACAAAGAAUUGAUGAGACCACUGGUCACCAAUCAGC